rnacentral:rRNA from 1 species
CAUAGCGACUAUCGUGGCAUAUCAAUAAGCGGAGGAAAAGAAACUAACUAGGAUUCCCUUAGUAACGGCGAGUGAAGCGGGAAGAGCUCAAAUUUGAAAUCUUCAAGGUUCUACCUUGACGAAUUGUAGUUUAUAAGAAGUGUUUUCUGUUAGUGAGUUGGCUAAAAGUUCUUUGGAAUAGGACAUCAUAGAGGGUGAGAAUCCCGUAUUUGACCAUUAUCUUCCAGCUGUGUGAUACACUUUCAAAGAGUCGGAUUGUUUGGGAAUGCAGUCCAAAAUGGGUGGUAAAUUUCAUCUAAAGCUAAAUACUGGCGAGAGACCGAUAGCGAACAAGUACCGUGAGGGAAAGAUGAAAAGAACUUUGAAAAGAGAGUUAAACAGUACGUGAGAUUGUCAAAAGGGAAGCGUUUGACACCAGUGUUGUUUUUCCGAAAAUCAAUUACGAAUGUUUUGUUUUUGAGGAGUUAUGACUUCAUCGGCUUGCUCCUUUCUUUACGAAACUUUCUUAAUGCACUUUUCGGUUAACAAGUCAACAUCAAUUUCUUUUGUUGUAAAAGGGUAUGAGGAAGGUGGCUUUCUUUUCGGAAAAAGUGUUUAUAGCCUUGUACCUCUGCAAUCGGAGAGAUUGAGGUCUGCAGCGUAGAUCCUUCGGGGCUAGAUACGUUUGUGCUAAGUUAUAGCUUUUCAUAGACAACUUGUUGACUAUGUUUAGUCUUGUAGCUUACUCGCAUGCGCUAUUUUACCUACGCUUAGGAUGUUGACGAGACUGUCGAUCUC